GACGAACGCUGGCGGCGUGCUUAACACAUGCAAGUCGAACGAAGUGGCGAACGGGUGAGUAACGCGUAAUCAACCUGCCCUUCAGAGGGGGACAACAGUUGGAAACGACUGCUAAUACCGCAUACUGAAGGAGGGGAUUGCGUCUGAUCAGCUAGUUGGCGGGGUAACGGCCCACCAAGGCGAUGAUCAGUAGCCGGUCUGCGAGGAUGAACGGCAACACGGGAACUGAGACACGGUCCAGACUCCUACGGGAGGCAGCAGUGGGGAAUAUUGGACAAUGGGCGAAAGCCUGAUCCAGCCAUGCCGCGUGUGUGAAGAAGGUCUUCGGAUUGUAAAGCACUUUAAGUUGGGAGGCGUUACCAACAGAAUAAGCACCGGCUAACUUCGUGCCAGCAGCCGCGGUAAUUC
rnacentral:rRNA from 1 species